CCUACGGGAGGCAGCAGUGGGGAAUAUUGGACAAUGGGCGAAAGCCUGAUCCAGCAAUGCCGCGUGAGUGAUGAAGGCCUUAGGGUUGUAAAGCUCUUUUACCAGGGAUGAUAAUGACAGUACCUGGAGAAUAAGCUCCGGCUAACUCCGUGCCAGCAGCCGCGGUAAUACGGAGGGAGCUAGCGUUGUUCGGAAUUACUGGGCGUAAAGCGUACGUAGGCGGUUAUUCAAGUCAGAGGUGAAAGCCUGGAGCUCAACUCCAGAACUGCCUUUGAAACUAGAUAGCUAGAAUCACGGAGAGGUUAGUGGAAUUCCGAGUGUAGAGGUGAAAUUCGUAGAUAUUCGGAAGAACACCAGUGGCGAAGGCGACUAACUGGACGUGUAUUGACGCUGAGGUACGAAAGCGUGGGGAGCAAACAGGAUUAGAUACCCUGGUAGUCCACGCCGUAAACGAUGAUAACUAGCUGUUCGGUCUCUACGAGACUGAGUGGCGCAGCUACGACAUUAAGUUAUCCGUCCGUCGGGUAGGUACGGUCGCGAGAAUUAAACUAACAAGGAAAGUUAGACGGCGUGAGACGUGCCGAACGGACGACGACGAGGGAGGUAGG
rnacentral:rRNA from 1 species